rnacentral:lncRNA from 1 species
ACAGUACCACCAAACAAAUAUCCACAUACCUUCUUCCCCUCUCCAUAGUUCUUAUCUUAAUAAACCAACAAGAAGGGCUCUUGAACGUGGACACAAUAGAAGAUCAAACCACUUAAAAAAUCUACAAGAACUCUUAAAUCAUUCCAUAGUUUUCACAGUCGAAAACCCUUCUCCUCGGGUUUUCAUUUGACCACGAAGUCCGAAAAGAAGCUGACGAGCCGCAAUAGCACACUAGGAUUGCAUAGGG